AGAGUUUGAUCAUGGCUCAGAUUGAACGCUGGCGGCAGGCCUAACACAUGCAAGUCGAACGGUAACAGAAAGCAGCUUGCUGCUUUGCUGACGAGUGGCGGACGGGUGAGUAAUGUCUGGGAAACUGCCUGAUGGAGGGGGAUAACUACUGGAAACGGUAGCUAAUACCGCAUAACGUCGCAAGACCAAAGAGGGGGACCUUAGGGCCUCUUGCCAUCGGAUGUGCCCAGAUGGGAUUAGCUAGUAGGUGGGGUAACGGCUCACCUAGGCGACGAUCCCUAGCUGGUCUGAGAGGAUGACCAGCCACACUGGAACUGAGACACGGUCCAGACUCCUACGGGAGGCAGCAGUGGGGAAUAUUGCACAAUGGGCGCAAGCCUGAUGCAGCCAUGCCGCGUGUAUGAAGAAGGCCUUCGGGUUGUAAAGUACUUUCAGCGGGGAGGAAGGGAGUAAAGUUAAUACCUUUGCUCAUUGACGUUACCCGCAGAAGAAGCACCGGCUAACUCCGUGCCAGCAGCCGCGGUAAUACGGAGGGUGCAAGCGUUAAUCGGAAUUACUGGGCGUAAAGCGCACGCAGGCGGUUUGUUAAGUCAGAUGUGAAAUCCCCGGGCUCAACCUGGGAACUGCAUCUGAUACUGGCAGGCUUGAGUCUCGUAGAGGGGGGUAGAAUUCCAGGUGUAGCGGUGAAAUGCGUAGAGAUCUGGAGGAAUACCGGUGGCGAAGGCGGCCCCCUGGACGAAGACUGACGCUCAGGUGCGAAAGCGUGGGGAGCAAACAGGAUUAGAUACCCUGGUAGUCCACGCCGUAAACGAUGUCGACUUGGAGGUUGUGCCCUUGAGGCGUGGCUUCCGGAGCUAACGCGUUAAGUCGACCGCCUGGGGAGUACGGCCGCAAGGUUAAAACUCAAAUGAAUUGACGGGGGCCCGCACAAGCGGUGGAGCAUGUGGUUUAAUUCGAUGCAACGCGAAGAACCUUACCUGGUCUUGACAUCCACGGAAGUUUUCAGAGAUGAGAAUGUGCCUUCGGGAACCGUGAGACAGGUGCUGCAUGGCUGUCGUCAGCUCGUGUUGUGAAAUGUUGGGUUAAGUCCCGCAACGAGCGCAACCCUUAUCCUUUGUUGCCAGCGGUCCGGCCGGGAACUCAAAGGAGACUGCCAGUGAUAAACUGGAGGAAGGUGGGGAUGACGUCAAGUCAUCAUGGCCCUUACGACCAGGGCUACACACGUGCUACAAUGGCGCAUACAAAGAGAAGCGACCUCGCGAGAGCAAGCGGACCUCAUAAAGUGCGUCGUAGUCCGGAUUGGAGUCUGCAACUCGACUCCAUGAAGUCGGAAUCGCUAGUAAUCGUGGAUCAGAAUGCCACGGUGAAUACGUUCCCGGGCCUUGUACACACCGCCCGUCACACCAUGGGAGUGGGUUGCAAAAGAAGUAGGUAGCUUAACCUUCGGGAGGGCGCUUACCACUUUGUGAUUCAUGACUGGGGUGAAGUCGUAACAAGGUAACCGUAGGGGAACCUGCGGUUG
rnacentral:rRNA from 1 species